rnacentral:rRNA from 1 species
GAUGAACGCUAGCGGCAGGCCUAAUACAUGCAAGUCGAACGGGAUCUGAGGGUAGCUUGCUACCCGAUUUGAGAGUGGCGCACGGGUGCGUAACGCGUGAGCAACCUACCCAUAUCAGGGGGAUAGCCCGAAGAAAUUCGGAUUAACACCGCAUAAUAAUACGCUAACACAUGUUGAUGUAUUUAAAUAUUUAUAGGAUAUGGAUGGGCUCGCGUGACAUUAGCUAGUUGGUAAGGUAACGGCUUACCAAGGCGACGAUGUCUAGGGGCUCUGAGAGGAGAAUCCCCCACACUGGUACUGAGACACGGACCAGACUCCUACGGGAGGCAGCAGUAAGGAAUAUUGGUCAAUGGGCGCAAGCCUGAACCAGCCAUGCCGCGUGCAGGAUGACUGCCCUAUGGGUUGUAAACUGCUUUUGUUAGGGAAUAAACCUUCUUACGUGUAAGGAGCUGAAUGUACCUAAAGAAUAAGGAUCGGCUAACUCCGUGCCAGCAGCCGCCGUAA